rnacentral:piRNA from 1 species
GCCUAGCAUAAAAUGGAGUUACAGUAGCCAU